rnacentral:rRNA from 1 species
UUGCCCUAGUAACGGCGAGUGAAGCGGCAACAGCUCAAAUUUGAAAUCUGGCUCUUUUAGGGUCCGAGUUGUAAUUUGCAGAGGGCGCUUUGGCUUUGGCAGCGGUCCAAGUUCCUUGGAACAGGACGUCACAGAGGGUGAGAAUCCCGUACGUGGUCGCUAGCUAUCGCCGUGUAAAGCCCCUUCGACGAGUCGAGUUGUUUGGGAAUGCAGCUCUAAAUGGGAGGUAAAUUUCUUCUAAAGCUAAAUAUUGGCCAGAGACCGAUAGCGCACAAGUAGAGUGAUCGAAAGAUGAAAAGCACUUUGGAAAGAGAGUCAAACAGCACGUGAAAUUGUUGAAAGGGAAGCGCUUGCAGCCAGACUUGCUUGCAGUUGCUCAUCCGGGCUUUUGCCCGGUGCACUCUUCUGUAGGCAGGCCAGCAUCAGUUUGGGCGGUGGGAUAAAGGUCUCUGUCACGUACCUCUCUUCGGGGAGGCCUUAUAGGGGAGACGACAUACCACCAGCCUAGACUGAGGUCCGCGCAUCUGCUAGGAUGCUGGCGUAAUGGCUGUAAGCGGCCCGUCUUGAAACACGGACCAAGGAGUCUAACAUCUAUGCGAGUGUUUGGGUGUCAAGCCCGAGCGCGUAAUGAAAGUGAACGGAGGUGGGAACCCGCAAGGGUGCACCAUCGACCGAUCCUGAAGUUUUCGGAAGGAUUUGAGUAAGAGCAUGGCUGUUGGGACCCGAAAGAUGGUGAACUAUGCUUGAAUAGGGUGAAGCCAGAGGAAACUCUGGUGGAGGCUCGCAGCGGUUCUGACGUGCAAAUCGAUCGUCAAAUUUGGGCAUAGGGGCGAAAGACUAAUCGAACUAU